AGCAAUGCACAGCGCAAUUGCCCGACCCGUCCUUGAGCAAUGGCAGACCCCUGCCAAUUCUGCCCCGUUUUUUUUCAGCACAGCACCGCAUGGUGUGGGACAUCCCUUUGGGCAACCUAGGGCCAGCUGUCCUGGCCCUGUCCCCUCCAGCUCCUGGUGCACCCCCAGCCCCUCAUCCCCCGUGGGGCAGCAGGAGGGGCUGUAAUGCCCUGGGCUGUGUGUGAGCACUGCACAACAGCCAACACAUCGGUGGCUUUAUGGCUUUAUUCCUACCCUAGAGCCAAAGCAUGGCAACAUUUUCUCACCGCUAUGAAGAAAAUCAGCUACCCCAGCCCAAACCAGGACACCCGAGCGACCAGCCGAGGGGAAGGACGCCUCGCAGAAGGGGCAAGCCACAACCCGACAAAACAAAGGCAGGAGCAGCCGGGGCCCCCUGCCCGCGGAGACACGCGGGGCAGCCGACACGUGCGGCAGGAGGCAGCAGAUGCCAGCCUGAAGCCAUACUGCAAUAGUUCACAGAGACUUCACUACUCUGCUGUAGGGGGUUUGUACAGUUUUUCAUUCGAGACUGACAUUAGUGCUAUGCAACAUCCCCAUUUAAAGCCUGAAAUGGAUUGAGGACAGUGGAGACACCCUGUGGCAUCCCUCUGAACUCUCAGACAGGCAGAGUGAGCAGUUUGACGUUUAUCUUCCUCCGGCAACAACGGCUGUCCUCAUGUAAAACUAUAAGGCCUCAAUUAGGUGCUACGUCUGUACCAAGCUUGGCACAGAGGUCUUUAAGUAAUCACAGUAACUGGGCAUACUGAAAUGAAAGUUAUUGCUAUGGGAAUGGCAAGAAGAGCCUCAGAUUCCCAUAAGACAUUAACAGGCCUUUAGGAUGUAUAAUUCACUUGACUCUCAAUUGUUCAUCCAGUAAAUAAUGUUGUGCUUUU